rnacentral:tmRNA from 1 species
GGGGCCGACAGGUUUUGACAGCAGCAAGGUCGGUGAGGUAAGCAUGUCGGGUGUUGGAAAGAUCAUCCGUGAACAAACUUUCUAAACAAUAAUAGGCGAAUCUAACUUCGCGCUAGCUGCUUAAUUUAGAAUUACGCAGUAGCUGUCUCUGCCGCAACAGUGUCCUACAGUGCGGUAAAUGAGGCAUCAUCAGGUAGGAAUAAGCCAAGGGUUUUCUCGGCCCACGGACGAAAAUCUCAGAGGAUAAGGACAGGUUAGGUCGUCUCUUGCCGGACCGGUCCCGACAAUCAAGUUGAGAAUAAGCAUGUAGAAGGCCCACAGGUCUGUUGUUUGGACGAGGGUUCGAAUCCCUCCGGCUCCACAA